CGCUCACCGCGAGCCCCAGGGAUGGCCCGACUCACCCUGGGGGCAGAGACGGGAGAUUUGGGGGACCAGACACGCACCAGGCCCUGUCGGACCCUGUCUCAGACCCACACUCCCUGGAUAGAACAAAGAACGGAAGUUCUCCCCACUAUCGCUUCCGGGUCGUCCUUUUCACUAACCACCCCACCACUGUGCUCCCAACGCCCACUUGUUCUCUCUAGGAAAAUGGGAGGUGCUUACCUCUCGGUGGUUUACGGGCUCACCCACGGAGAGAGCCCAGGGCCCAAAAGCUGAAGCGGCACUUGAGGCGAGGCCUGUCUUCCUCGACAAGCUGGCCGGUGGCGCCCUCUGCUGGCCUUGUCAGGCCAGGCGCCGCUCAGGGGCGGAAGAGGGGUAAAGGCGGCCCUUGCUCGACAACAGGGCCCAUGCUUGGGCGCUGGACUCCGGGUCGCGCCACCCCUUCUCUGAGCCUGUCCCAGAUGGUGUUACCCUGGAAUGGGGGACUCUAGAGGAUAUGUCAUAUAUCGCAGAAAACCCAACACAGGUGAUCCUUAGAGAAGAAAUUGAAAAUGCAUGUGCAGCAGUCUCAGUGACUGAGGUGACCCAAGAAGGAGUUUGCCAUCUAAUAAAUAUCUGGAAGUUAAUGGGUACCACUUUGAGCACCUCUUGUCAUUGGAGAACGCAAAGUGCCCCAGAUGCCUCGCUGCCAGGCUACAUCAGACAACUGCUUGGGGAGACAUUUGCUGGUGUACAGCGAAUGUGUCAUAGGUCCAUCCCAGAUGACUGCUCCACAGAGGUACAAGAGGUCCAAUCGGGUCCAUGAGGGGCCCCACCCCUGCCCAGGAUUAAGCAGAAAGUCUGACACUGUGCAUAUGUGAACCCACUUGUUCUUUUAUAUAAGCAUCUUCCCCCCACAUCUUAGCGGAUCAUCUGUGCACUGUUUCCCUUUAUGUUGCAGCAUAAGUCCUAACACAGCCUCUUUUGAGUGACAUAUUUUUGCCUGUCUGUGAUUUCUAUUUUGAGUAGAGCACGCUGAGCUGCUACACUAAGCACUGGUUACACCAACGGUUACUAGGGCCAAAAGCAGCCAGCAUCUGGAGCUGGUAACACUGAGGGAAGCCAGG